UAUGGGAAUGGUUUCUUCCCAGGCACUGAGGCUUGUGCCAGAAGAUCAUUCUGAUACAAAAGUUGAAAACUUCCCUGUCUGCUGGGAGAGCAGCCAAUGUGAAGUCAGCAAAAACAGGGAGGACUGACUGACUCCAAGAAGCUGACUAACUGAGCCAAGGAGAGCAAACCAGACUGCUGCUUCCCUGUGCAUGGACUCAAAUAAAUGGAGAUGUGUUUCUUUUCUGCAGUCCUGGGCUCAAGCACAGCCAAGAAAGCACAGACGUACGGUGGUAGUAAGGUGGACGGAAGGUGUUGUUAGCUACCCCCCAUCGCGGCGGGAAUAUGACAAAGUCAGCAAGAGCCACUCCAGCACGGGUUGUCUUGGCUGUCAGGACAGUGAAGAUGGAAGGAUCCUGGAAAAAAGCAAGGCAAAAAAGCAUGAAACAUGCUCAGAGCUGUGCUCACAUCACUCAGGUGGUAAUAAACCUGACUGAUUCAGCUUCUCCUUUGCUUAAACAAUUUUGUCACCUGCAUCUGAUAGUGUAGAUGAGAUUUGGGACCCUGGGGAACAGCACUCAGUAUCACAAUUCCAUGCUGUACAGGGGGGACAAGAAAUGGGUCUGGAUGGUUUGUCCUUUCCUUCAACAGCUUUGAUGAUCCUUCCCCACCCUGGCCCUUGUAGCUGCCAGCAUAGAUGAGGAGGGUGGACAACACUGCAAGAGGAGGUACUGCAAUUCCAGGAGCAGUCUCCAACACUCCUACCACCAAACCACACCUUUUCUUCAGCCAAUUACAGAGGACAGGAACAUCUUGCUAGAGGUAUUUAGUCUCAUGGCCCUGUUAGUUUACAAAUGGAGAAGAAAUUGCAGAGAAAAUUUUGGCUUGUUGAAAUCUCUAGUCCAGUAAAAUUAUUUUCUGGGCUUUGAUCCCAAACCUGUCCUUCUUCUGGCAGAUUUUUCUGGAGUUUUAAACAAUACUCUCUGUUGGUUUUCUCACUAGAAAUGCUCCAGUCUCCCUUGCAAACCCACUUGCAUUGCUGUGGGCAUCUCUCCCACUGGACUGGUUUCCUUUUUAGAUGAGUUGUUCACAUUAGUUUUGGCUUUAGUUAUUUUCCAUAAAAUCUAGAAAUUAUUACAUUGAAAGCUGCCAGCUCUUCAAAAUGAAAUUCAGUCCUGGACUCAGAGGAACCAGAGGAAGGAGUCUGUCCAAUAGCAAGAAAUAAAUUAAGGCAAGAAUUUGAA